rnacentral:tRNA from 1 species
GCCUGGGUGGCUCCGUCGGUGGAGCGUCUGACUUCGGCUCAGGUCAUAUCUCACGGUCGUGAGUUCGAGCCCCGCGUCGGGCU